UGGGGAAUAUUGGACAAUGGGCGAAAGCCUGAUCCAGCCAUGCCGCGUGUGUGAAGAAGGUCUUCGGUUUGUAUAGCUCUUUAAGUUGGGAGGAAGGGCAGUAAGCGAAUACCUUGCUGUUUUGACGUUACCGACAGAAUAAGCACCGGCUAACUCUGUGCCAGCAGCCGCGGUAAUACAGAGGGUGCAAGCGUUAACCGGAAUUACUGGGCGUAAAGCGCGCGUAGGUGGUUCGUUAAGUUGAAUGUGAAAGCCCCGGGGUCAACCUGGGAACUGCAUCCAAAGCUGGCUAGCUAGAGUAGGGCAGAGGGUGGUGGAAUUUCCUGUGUAGCGGUGAAGUGCGUAGAUAUAGAAAGGAACACCAGUGGCGGAGGCGACCACCUGGGCUCAUACUGACACUGAGGUGCGAAAGCGUGGGGAGCAAACAGA
rnacentral:rRNA from 1 species